UCCGUAGGUGAACCUGCGGAAGGAUCAUUAAAGAUUCUAAGGCUUCGGUCUUAAUUUCGGCUGUGCGCUCAGGCUGCACGCCGAUAACCUCUCACACCUGUGCACCUUUUCGGUUGCGGUUUCGGCCGCUUCCGCUUUUACAUGCAACCACGAAAAGUCUAGAAUGUGACGAGAACUAUAAAGUAACAACUUUCAACAACGGAUCUCUUGGCUCUCGCAUCGAUGAAGAACGCAGCGAAAUGCGAUAAGUAAUGUGAAUUGCAGAAUUCAGUGAAUCAUCGAAUCUUUGAACGCACCUUGCGCUCCUUGGUAUUCCAUGGAGCAUGCCUGUUUGGGUGUCACGUAAACCCUCACCCCUGCGAUGUAACAGUCGCCUGCGGUGGACUUGGACCGUGCCGGUAAUCGGCUCGUCUUGAAAUGCAUUAGCUGGCGCUUUUAGAGUGCUGGGCGAACGGUGUGAUAAUUAUCUGCGCCGACUGCCCUGGGCCUCUUCAGCGGCGCUGCUUACAGCCGUCCCUUGUGGACAACUAUUUUAAAGCUUUGGCCUCAAAUCAGGUAGGACUACCCGCUGAACUUAAGCAUAUCAAUAAGCGGAGGA
rnacentral:rRNA from 1 species